rnacentral:rRNA from 1 species
UACGAAGGGGGCUAGCGUUGUUCGGAAUCACUGGGCGUAAAGCGCACGUAAGCGGAUCGUUAAGUCGGGGGUGAAAUCCCAGGGCUCAACCCUGGAACUGCCUUCGAUACUGGCGAUCUUCGAGUCCGGGAGAGGUGAGUGGAACUCCGAGUGUAGAGGUGAAAUUCGUAGAUAUUCGGAAGAACACCAGUGGCGAAGGCGGCUCACUGGCCCGGUACUGACGCUGAGGUGCGAAAGCGUGGGGAGCAAACAGG